CCGCUCUGAUGACUCUCUCAUUGGUUUCGCUUGUUUCUGAGAAGCAAUGAUGCCACCGUGUUCCUCUUGGCUGUCUGAGCGA
ensembl:snoRNA